CCGAGGAGUCUAACACGUACGCGAGUCAGAGGGGUUGAAGAACCCUUAAGGCGAAACGAAAGCGAACGGCGGGAUCCCCUUCCUUAAACGGAAGAGGCGCACCGCCCGCCCGUCGCCCUCUCUGAGCGGUGACGGAGCGAGAGCGUACACGUUAGGACCCGAAAGACGGUGAACUAUUCCCGGGCGGGACGAAGCCGGAGGAAACUCCGGUGGAGGUCCGCAGCGAUUCUGACGUGCAAAUCGAUCGUCAGACCCGGGUAUAGGGGCGAAAGACUAAUCGAACCGUCUA
rnacentral:rRNA from 1 species